CUCACUUGCUCACCUCGCACACUGUUCGCCUCACACGAUGAGCUCGAGAGGCCGACCACGAGCUCCGGCGGCGGCGGCGGCGGCGGAAAGCGCAGCGGUUCCCGGUCGUCGGCCGGCCAGGUCUUAUAGAGAGAAAGGCUUGGCAGCCAGGUUUCGCGCGAGGGCCGACGUUGCCUGCACAGAUCUGGCUCAGGUGGUAGCCGUCGGCCGGUCAGAUCCGGCGUGGGGAGUCAGGCGGGACAGCGGUGACUCGGAGGGAGGGCGAAACGUCGAUUCACGCUUCAGUUCUUGUUCCGAUCUGCAGCCCCUGGGCCGUUGGAGUGAUUGUUGGAAGCUCACGCAUUGAGAGAGUGGCAAAUGGCCAAACGCUCAAUCCAUCCAUGCUCACAUCACUCAAGAUUAGUUAUAAAGAGUUAAAGACAGUACCUAACUACCUGGAUUGGUGAUAUAAUUGGAAGGUAGGAAGGAUGAUCUUGCUGCAACAAGAAGUGCGUGUCACAUUAAAUCGAUUAUGUUGCGUGUACAAUAAACAGAUGCUGUUUUCUUUCAAUAUAUAUAAAUACCACCAAGAUGGAAAAUCAACCUAUAGAGCAUACAAAUAGUUAUGUUAUUAUAUACUGUAAUAUGUUCAGAAUAGCAAGUGUUUCUGAAUUAAGUGAUGGGAAAGCAAUAAAUCUGCUUGCACCAUGAUUAAUUGCUACAGUUUCA